AUUGAACGCUGGCGGCAUGCCUAACACAUGCAAGUCGAACGAGUGGCGGACGGGUGAGUAAUGUCUGGGACACUGCCUGAUGGAGGGGGUUAACUACUGGAAACGGUAGCUAAUACCGCAUACCAUCGGAUGUGCCCAGAUGGGGUUGGCUAGUAGGUGGGGUAACGGCUCACCUAGGCGACGAUCCCUAGCUGGUCUGAGAGGGUGACCGGCAACACUGGAACGGUGAAAGGGUCCAGACUCCUACGGGAGGCAGCAGUGGGGAAUAUUGCACAAUGGGCGCAAGCCGGAUGCAGCCAUGCCGCGUGUAUGAAGAAGGCCUUCGGGUUGUAAAGUACUUUCAGAGGGGAGGCGUUACCCGAAGAAGAAGCACCGGCUAACUCCGUGCCAGCAGCCGCGGUAAUAC
rnacentral:rRNA from 1 species